CUGGCUGGUUGGCCUCUGGGUUGAGCUGACAUCAGCUUCCCAACAUCUGGUUAAACAUUGGUGCACCUGCCUCUGCCAAGUCAAGGCUAAUCCAAAGCCGGUGUGUUGUUUAACUCCGUUGGCCUGGAUCACCAGAGCAGCAACAGCAGCAGAGAUUUCUGCAGGACCACCAUUUUCCCCUGCCAGUCUCCUGGGUGACCCCAGGCCGGAUAAGACCUAAGGCACUCUAAGUCUGAGACUUCUACUCCGGGUUAACGGUGGAGGUGAUGAGAAGGGUCAGACCUUGAAUAGAAUCAUGCAGAGUAUUAAGAGGGGUAGGUGGAAGGACAGCAUAAUCAGCCAAGAAAAAAAGGAGGACGGAAAUUGCACAGCUAAGAGCAGAAACCGAUGUACUGCAUAGCUGGCACACAGCACAAGUGCCAACAAAGACGUGUACCAGAGACCUGCCCUCCAAAAGACCCAACAAGCAGCUGAAAGAGUCAGAUGCAGAUAUUUGCACCCAACCAAUGGACAGAAGCUGCUGACCCCUGUGGUUGAAUUAGAGAAAGAAGCUGAGGAGAAGGGUGACCCUGUAGGAGGACCAGCAGUCUCAACUAACCUGGACCCCUGAGAUCUCUCAGACAUUGAGCCAGCAAACAGGCAGCUACACCAGCUGAUGUGAGGCCCCCAGCACAAGUACAGCAGGGGACUCCCUGGUCUGGCGUCAGGCAGAGAAGAUGCACCUAACCCUCAAGAGACUGGAAGCCCCAGGGAGUGGGGAGAUCUGGGGGAGGGNAAUGGGGGUGCGGACAUGCUCAUGGAGACAAAGGGAGGAGGUAUAGAAUAUAGAACAGUCAGAGGGACCAGGAGGGGGAUAAAGUCUGGACUGUAAAAAAAAGAUUAAAUAAAAAAAAUAAUAAUGAGAGGACUGGAGAGAUGACUGAGCAGUUAAAAGCAGGUCCUUGCUCUCACAGAGGAUCAAAGCUCAAUUCCUAACACCUGUAUCGGGCAGCUCACGACUGCCCAUAACUAGCUCUGGUGGAUUGAACCCCUCUUCAGGCCUCCAAGGACACACACAAUAGAAAAUGAUGAAAAAGCACAUUUUUUUUAGAAUCAGCCAAUUGGACUCCAUUUUAGGUGAGCCCAGUUUUACUACUAACACGGAAAGCACUGCAAUGAGGAGGCAGGGGAAUGUGUCACUUCCCCCACCAGAAGCUGGAAGAGAAGACGAGGGGCUGGACUCACUUCCUCUUCUGCUUUGGACGCCAUCUUGAGAAAAAGGCAAGAGCUGGCUUUUGGAUGAGACCAUUAACUCACAUAAAUGCCAAGCUAAUUAAUACAAAGAAAGAUAAGCAAGAGCACAAGAACAAGCAAUAUCAGAAACAAAAGGGGGACUUAACUUGGGGAAACUGAGGCUGAGAGGCUCAGCAACCGGUUUGACGUCUGAGUGGUAGAGCAGAGGCCAGAGCUGGUGUCCUUUCCCUGCUCUCCGCAGCCUUCCCCAGCAAGCUGUUUGCAAGGCUGCACUUGGAUACCUGAAGUUUACCUUCUAGACACCUUGGCUCCCUGAGGUCACAGGAGAACUUGUGGGUUCUCCUUCCACUGUGUGGGCUCGGGGACUGAACGCAGCUCUUCUGGUUUAGCAGCAAGCACCUUGAUCUACUGAACCAUCACACGGGCUCCCUUUCAGAUGUACUCCAGGUUGACUUCAAACUCACCAUGUAUUGGAAGAUGACAUUGAACUCCCAGUCCUCCUGCCUCUAUACCCUAAAGGCUGGGGUGACAUUCCCACUGCACCAUGCCUGGUUCUAAACAGUGCUGAGGACUGAGUCUGAGGUUUCAAGCAUGCCAGGUGAGUGCCCUGCCAAGUGAUCUACAUCCCCAGGUCCGCGUGUGCUUUUCAGUCCAUCCUUCCUUCUGUCAGGGCUGUUCUUCCUCAUGAGCCACCUCCCUGGGUGGUGAUCCUUCCUCUCCUUUUCACUUAGGACUUGUGGUGAGUCUCUGGCUUGGCUGAGUAGAACUGUGCACAGGCCCAAGACACAGAGCCCUUGGGAUCCCACAAGCCUUGUCUAAGCAUGGCCUCCCUCCCAGCUUCCUUGGAGCAGGUGAUGGAGGUGCCUAUUGUGUUGACCUGAAUGUUAAGUCUAUGCACGUGGCAUGCAGGGACACAGACCCAUGACACUGAUCCACUAUGUCACCGUGAAUGCAAGAUGGUUGCCAAAGAGAGGUCAUCCUCCGUUACCUAUAUUCAGGUGGGUCAAUUACCAGCUUCAUGGAACUCCAAACCCUUCCUUGGGUUUGUCGAGCCUAGUAGGAGACUGAAUGGAUGUUCAGGGAGUGUCUGCUAAGAUCUUCAAGCGGCUAGAACUGAAUACCAUGGGAGAACAAGAGCUAGGAAAUCCAGAAAGGCUUCCCAGAGGAAGGCUGCACUGGUUUAGGCCUGAAAACAUUGGAGGAAUUGGAGUAGCAGAGGGAAAAGAUGAGAGGCAUUUCAGCUGAGGGGGACUAGCAUGUGCAAAGGGUCAGGGGUAGGAGAAAUAACAUGAACUACUUGCUUCCCUCGCUCUUCUGGAUAAGCCUGGGUGGGGAAGUCCAGCCUCUGCUCUCCCAGGCACUUUAGCCACCUUACAAACAUAUGAGGGCCCUGGGGCUGUCUAGGAACAAGCACCGGGUCUCUCAGAUGCCUUCUACUCUUGCUGUGCAGUCCCUGCAUAAGGCAUACCUUCUGCAUGCUGCUUCCUUUCCGAAGCACUGAGCACGUCCCUCUCCAAGGCACAUGCUGUUCCCUCUCCCAGGAGUAAUACGUUUACUUUGGUUCUCUACAAGAGCAGCCUCUUUAUCUUUGGGUUUGUCGGCUUGCAGGGACACUUUUCAAGCUGCCCUGCAUCUUGCACUCGCAUCCUGUCUCCGUUGCUUUUCUCGACUUCUAUUCUAGAAUCCAUAUUCACUUUCACCUGUUGUCUGUCUCUACCCCAACAGGGCAAGGUCAAAGUCUUAGUUAUAGGGACCACUGUGUCCUCAAGGCCCAGCAGAGGGCCUAACACAGAAUAAACAUUCUGGAACUUUCGUGUAGAGAGAAGGAAAGGUGUGUGUUAGGUCCUGUUGCAGCAUUAGCCCCCUGGAGGAGCCUGUCACCUGUGAGCAUGCUCAGAAGUGACACCGCAUUCCCCAGGGCACAUCCUUUACAUGAGAGUGGGGAGCAAGCAAUUGGUCCAAUUGCGCUUGAGGGUCCUUCUGCUCUGCACACCCUGCAAAGUCGGGGAGAACUAUCCUCACUGGGCUGUCUGACAUGGAAGACGGAACUUGCCACUCUUCGCAAUCUUCUCAAAUGCUCUGAUGUGAACAUGAGGUCUGUGCUUCGGACAGCCAUGCUCGUCAGUGUGUUCAUCAUUUCCUGAGGCCCAACCACGGGCCAGGUCCACAGUGCAGCCAUCAUGCAGACAGUAAAAUAGUUCUGGUGGCUGUCACGUUGAAGGCAUUUAAGAUAUGUUAGGGGCUUAGGGCCCCAGGACAGCCUGGCUGGAGUGUUUAGUGGGGGUGAGGCACUUGUAGAUCAAAUUAUUCCUUGGAGUUUUUGUACACGUGAGUCGCCCGGGAUCGUUUGUGGGGGGAGAUGGGGUUGUACACACAUGUGGAGUCUGGAGCUCAGUUGUUCUCCAUCUUCUUUGUAUAUUUAAUACAGAGCCUCUCACUGAGCCCAGGGCUUACGAACUGUUGGACUGGCUAGCCAGAAAGGACUCGGGGAUCGUCUCUUUCUAAGCCUCCCCAGUUGUGGGGUUACAGAUAUAGGCCACAAGGCCCCAUUUCAUUGUUACUAUUUGUCUCAGGUUCUGGGAAUUAAACAGUUCCUGGUGUUCGCAAGGCAAGACUGUAGUGACUAAGCAGUCUCUAGAGCCUUGGGGCAUCAUUGUUAUUUGAGACAGGGUCUAUCUAUAUAGCUUGAGCUAGUCCGGAACUUUCUAUAUCACCCCAAGUCUAGCCUUGGGUUCUUGAUUCUCCUUCCUCAGCCUGCUUGUGUCCCAGCACCCAAAUACAGGGGCAGCCCGUCUGAGCCAGGUACCUGCUUGUCUCUCAAAUCCUCCACAACUGGAUGGAGCUGACAAGAGAUGAUCUGUUUCUGGAUGAACAGGGACUUGCCCAGGGUCACCAGGCCAGGCGACUGGGCCAGGAAGGGCUGAACCACCUCCCCCACUGUGGGCCCUGGCACUGGGGCUGACUGGGCUCAGUGGGCCUUUGUGAGGCCACAUACCUGGGCUGGGAGGCCGCCACUCAGCUAUGAAUAGCGGCCUCUUUCCUUCCUGAGGCACCCGGCAGGCGCAUGCCCUCCCCUACACACACACUCACACGCACUCACGCCUGCUCAGCUCACUCGGGAAAGUCAACAGGAGUAUUUGAAAAGUCUUUCUGUGUAGAGAAUCUGUUUGGAUAGGGGGAGGACGGGAGAGCCAGCCAAUAGGUAGAAAUAUUAAUGAACCUAGUUAUAAAGGACCCAUUCACGGCUCGACGGGUAAAUAGGGCUCUUGUCGGGAGGCCACGUUAUCUGCCAAGUUCAAGAAUGUGGUUUGAAAAAAUAGAAUUUAAAGGGCUGAGGUGGAGCCUUAAAUGGCUGGUGUGCUGGAGCCACAGCCAAAUGAGGGAGGAGCCGGACUGGCCUGGGCACUGGGCAGGGGUUGGGGUGUGGGCUUCUGCUAAAGGGGCCGGGGACAGAGCUGGGAAAGGUGGGUGGAAUUCAGAGACAUCAGGCUGGGUGCCCAUCGAGUGCUUGUGAUAUCCCUUCUUCCCCCAGGUGCCUGGCCAAGGACUGGCAGUUUCUCUACUGAGCCCAGUGCAUGUAACUCCUCAGCUCAGAGACUUUGGUCAGAGGGGCCAACAGGGGCCAAUGGGCUAUAUAGGAAGGGAACUCGACUUCUCCUUCAGUCACUCACCAUGAUCCCACAAAGCUAGACUUCUUCUGCCACCACCAAGUUGCCCUAGUUGUUUAAACUGUGUAAGAAGGAGCAAAAAGAUGGGACUUGGUAAAUCUGUUCACUUCACAUGGGCAUCCCUCAGCCUAGCAGAGAAUCAGUAGCUCAGGGUUACACGGCAAGCUUGGAGCAGAAUAAAACAUUGGCUUCCAUCAGUUUCUUGCUGGAAACAGGCACCCUAGCAUGAGUCUCCCACAGUCACAUGCACAGAGGAGGUGCCUCGUCACAUAUAGGACAGUGUGUCAUUUUUAGCCCUGGACUUAAAGAAAAGUGCAAACUGGAAUGUUCUAACACUGCCCCUGGCCAGCAGUGUGGCCUAGGCAGGAGACUGACCUUUCUGAACAUCAGCUUCCCCAUGUCCUCCUGUUGGAAAAACUCAGUGGAAGGAUGCUGGCGAUGGGCUAGCGCUGUGCCAGGCACUUGGUGGGUGGCCUUGGGACUGUGGCUGGACCACUUCUUUUUCUGUCCCAGCCUGUGCUGUGAAGGUGGAGAUGCUGGGAAGAUAGCUCCCUGGCUUUGGGUUUUAGGAACAGUUUCUACCUGGAUCCUAGAAGGGUGGCCAAGGCCACGCUUGUGGGAAAGUGGCAAAUUUGAAGCCAGAGGUUCUGCCAUGGAGUGUGUUGGGCAGUGAGGCCCUGUGUGAACGAAUCUCAGUCAAGAUCUUUAAAACAGUCUGCAGGGAACCUGGACAUGCAGCACAACCCCUUCCCCAACACCAAACAAAUGCUUGUGCAGAACAAGGGUUAACCCGGAGCUGAGGGAACGUUUACAUUGUCUUUUCUUGGCAAAUAAAAGAAAAGGAAAUAACAUAAAAUCCAAAUGGAAACCUUCAGUAAAGGCUCUGCCAGGAGCUCUCUGAGCAGCUUUGAACAUGGGGACAUUCGGGGACUUGGGUUGUGGGACAUUAGAAGCAUUUGGUAUUAUAGGAGGUCAGAAAUAGCAUUUGGACCUUACAGACUUGGGUUCAAGAUUAGGCUCUGCGGUUCAUUGGCUGUGUUGCUUUGAGCAAAUGAUGAGUCUUUCUGUGCUCUCAUUUCUUAAUUCUAUACAAAGAAAGAAAAGGUUACCCUAUGUGAAGUUCCCUGGCACAUUAUGGAUACUCAUUCAACAUUAAUUUCCUUUCCUUUCUGGGCCUCCUGGAAGGGCCAGGGGAAAUGUCUGACAGGUCUCACCAGGCAGAGCUGGGAGCUCCUCGCAGCUCCAUGGGCCCCACAGCUGCACCUCAGGAGCUUAGUGUCAGGUAGAGCUUAUGGCGCUGACAGUUGGAAGAGCAUGUGCCAGCUUGCCAUGAGCGUUUCCCAAGGCUUUGCGUGAGGUGGGAAAGCAGUACCCACUACCCUAUUUUCCACUGAGACCAGGAGAAGUUAAGAAGCUAGAGCUCUCGGGCAGGGCCCAGAUCUGUUUUCAUUCCUUCAGCUCCUACUGUUGAAGACUUGUGCACCAAGCACAGUUUUAAACACGGGGGGUUAGACAGUGAAUAGAACAAGACACAGAUGGCUGGAUGAUGAUCAAGAGGAUGGACAGCUGAGUGGGUGGGUUGAGGGAUGGAUACUGAAUGGACGGUUGGGUGAGUACAUAGAUCAGUGGACCAAUAGAUGGAUGGUGAAUUAAAUGAUAUGGGUAGGUGAACAGACAGAGGGAUGAGUAAACAGACAAUGAAUGGCUAAGUAGGUGGGUAAAUGGGUAAGCAGAUGGAUGUGUGAUUCAUGGAUGGAUGGGUAGCUGGAUGGAUAGAUGGACAGACCAGUGAAUGGAUAGACAGAGAUGCAGAGGUUGAUGGGUAAA
rnacentral:sRNA from 1 species